AUGCCGCGUGAGUGAUGAAGGCCUUAGGGUCGUAAAGCUCUUUCGCCAGAGAUGAUAAUGACAGUAUCUGGUAAAGAAACCCCGGCUAACUCCGUGCCAGCAGCCGCGGUAAUACGGAGGGGGUUAGCGUUGUUCGGAAUUACUGGGCGUAAAGCGCACGUAGGCGGAUUGGAAAGUUGGGGGUGAAAUCCCAGGGCUCAACCCUGGAACUGCCUUGAAAACUCCUGGUCUUGAGUUCGAGAGAGGUGAGUGGAAUUCCGAGUGUAGAGGUGAAAUUCGUAGAUAUUCGGAGGAACACCAGUGGCGAAGGCGGCUCACUGGCUCGAUACUGACGCUGAGGUGCGAAAGUGUGGGGAGCAAACAGGAUUAGAUACCCUGGUAGUCCACACCGUAAACGAUGAAUGCCAGACGUCGGGUAGCAUGCUAUUCGGUGACACACCUAACGGAUUAAGCAUUCCGCCUGGGGAGUACGGUCGCAAGAUUAAAACUCAAAG
rnacentral:rRNA from 1 species